UACGUAGGGUGCAAGCGUUAAUCGGAAUUACUGGGCGUAAAGCGUGCGCAGGCGGCUUUGCAAGACAGAUGUGAAAUCCCCGGGCUCAACCUGGGAACUGCAUUUGUGACUGCAUGGCUAGAGUACGGUAGAGGGGGAUGGAAUUCCGCGUGUAGCAGUGAAAUGCGUAGAUAUGCGGAGGAACACCGGUGGCGAAGGCGGCCAUCUGGACGACUACUGACGCUGAGACGCGAAAGCGUGGGGAGCAAACAGG
rnacentral:rRNA from 1 species